AGAUUGAACGCUAGCGGGAUGCUUUACACAUGCAAGUCGAACGGCAGCGCGGACUUCGGUCUGGCGGCGAGUGGCGAACGGGUGAGUAAUAUAUCGGAACGUGCCCAGUAGCGGGGGAUAACUACGCGAAAGCGUGGCUAAUACCGCAUACGCCCUACGGGGGGAAAGGGGGGGAUCGCAAGACCUCUCACUAUUGGAGCGGCCGAUAUCGGAUUAGCUAGUUGGUGAGGUAAAGGCUCACCAAGGCGAAACGAUCUGUAGCUGGUUUGAGAGGACGACCAGCCACACUGGGACUGAGACACGGCCCAGACUCCUACGGGAGGCAGCAGUGGGGAAUUUGGACAA
rnacentral:rRNA from 1 species